CCCCGUACACAAAAAUGCACAUGCUGUGAGCUCGAUGAGUAGGGCGGGACACGUGGUAUCCUGUCUGAAUAUGGGGGGACCAUCCUCCAAGGCUAAAUACUCCUGACUGACCGAUAGUGAACCAGUACCGUGAGGGAAAGGCGAAAAGAACCCCGGCGAGGGGAGUGAAAAAGAACCUGAAACCGUGUACGUACAAGCAGUGGGAGCACGCUUCGGCGUGUGACUGCGUACCUUUUGUAUAAUGGGUCAGCGACUUAUAUUCUGUAGCAAGGUUAACCGAAUAGGGGAGCCGAAGGGAAACCGAGUCUUAACUGGGCGUUAAGUUGCAGGGUAUAGACCCGAAACCCGGUGAUCUAGCCAUGGGCAGGUUGAAGGUUGGGUAACACUAACUGGAGGACCGAACCGACUAAUGUUGAAAAAUUAGCGGAUGACUUGUGGCUGGGGGUGAAAGGCCAAUCAAACCGGGAGAUAGCUGGUUCUCCCCGAAAGCUAUUUAGGUAGCGCCUCGUGAAUUCAUCUCCGGGGGUAGAGCACUGUUUCGGCAAGGGGGUCAUCCCGACUUACCAACCCGAUGCAAACUGCGAAUACCGGAGAAUGUUAUCACGGGAGACACACGGCGGGUGCUAACGUCCGUCGUGAAGAGGGAAACAACCCAGACCGCCAGCUAAGGUCCCAAAGUCAUGGUUAAGUGGGAAACGAUGUGGGAAGGCCCAGACAGCCAGGAUGUUGGCUUAGAAGCAGCCAUCAUUUAAAGAAAGCGUAAUAGCUCACUGGUCGAGUCGGCCUGCGCGGAAGAUGUAACGGGGCUAAACCAUGCACCGAAGCUGCGGCAGCGACGCUGAUGCGUUGUUGGGUAGGGGAGCGUUCUGUAAGCCUGUGAAGGUGUGCUGUGAGGCAUGCUGGAGGUAUCAGAAGUGCGAAUGCUGACAUAAGUAACGAUAAAGCGGGUGAAAAGCCCGCUCGCCGGAAGACCAAGGGUUCCUGUCCAACGUUAAUCGGGGCAGGGUGAGUCGACCCCUAAGGCGAGGCCGAAAGGCGUAGUCGAUGGGAAACAGGUUAAUAUUCCUGUACUUGGUGUUACUGCGAAGGGGGGACGGAGAAGGCUAUGUUGGCCGGGCGACGGUUGUCCCGGUUUAAGCGUGUAGGCUGGUUUUCCAGGCAAAUCCGGAAAAUCAAGGCUGAGGCGUGAUGACGAGGCACUACGGUGCUGAAGCAACAAAUGCCCUGCUUCCAGGAAAAGCCUCUAAGCAUCAGGUAACAUCAAAUCGUACCCCAAACCGACACAGGUGGUCAGGUAGAGAAUACCAAGGCGCUUGAGAGAACUCGGGUGAAGGAACUAGGCAAAAUGGUGCCGUAACUUCGGGAGAAGG
rnacentral:rRNA from 1 species